rnacentral:rRNA from 1 species
CCUACGGGAGGCAGCAGUGGGGAAUAUUGCGCAAUGGGCGAAAGCCUGACGCAGCGACGCCGCGUGAGGGAUGAAGGUCUUCGGAUCGUAAACCUCUGUCAGCAGGGAAGAACGGUCACUGUGCUAAUCAGCAGUGAAUUGACGGUACCUGCAAAGGAAGCACCGGCUAACUCCGUGCCAGCAGCCGCGGUAAUACGGAGGGUGCGAGCGUUAAUCGGAAUUACUGGGCGUAAAGCGCUCGUAGGCGGUAUGUUAAGUCAAGGGUGAAAUCCCCGCGCUCAACGUGGGAACUGCCUUUGAUACUGGCAAACUGGAGUGUGUGAGAGGAUAGUGGAAUUCCAGGUGUAGCGGUGAAAUGCGUAGAUAUCUGGAGGAACAUCAGUGGCGAAGGCGACUAUCUGGCACAUAACUGACGCUGAGGAGCGAAAGCGUGGGUAGCAAACAGGAUUAGAUACCCCUGUAGUC